UACACUCCUACGGGAGGCAGCAGUGGGGAAUAUCGCACAAUGGGCGCAAGCCUGAUGCAGCCAUGCCGCGUGUAUGAAGAAGGCCUUCGGGUUGUAAAGUACUUUCAGCGGGGAGGAAGGCGAUAAGGUUAAUAACCUUGUCGAUUGACGUUACCCGCAGAAGAAGCACCGGCUAACUCCGUGCCAGCAGCCGCGGUAAUACGGAGGGUGCAAGCGUUAAUCGGAAUUACUGGGCGUAAAGCGCACGCAGGCGGUCUGUCAAGUCGGAUGUGAAAUCCCCGGGCUCAACCUGGGAACUGCAUUCGAAACUGGCAGGCUAGAGUCUUGUAGAGGGGGGUAGAAUUCCAGGUGUAGCGGUGAAAUGCGUAGAGAUCUGGAGGAAUACCGGUGGCGAAGGCGGCCCCCUGGACAAAGACUGACGCUCAGGUGCGAAAGCGUGGGGAGCAAACAGGAUUAGAUACCCGGGUAGUCCCAUG
rnacentral:rRNA from 1 species